GGAUUAGAUACCCCGGUAGUCCAUGCCGUAAACGUUGGGAACUAGAUGUGGGGACCAUUCCACGGUCUCCGUGUCGCAGCUAACGCAUUAAGUUCCCCGCCUGGGGAGUACGGCCGCAAGGCUAAAACUCAAAGGAAUUGACGGGGGCCCGCACAAGCGGCGGAGCAUGCGGAUUAAUUCGAUGCAACGCGAAGAACCUUACCAAGACUUGACAUAUACGAGAACGGGCCAGAAAUGGUCAACUCUUUGGACACUCGUAAACAGGUGGUGCAUGGUUG
rnacentral:rRNA from 1 species